rnacentral:rRNA from 1 species
AAGCCGUUGAGUCUAUGCUGCCUAGAAAAGCUCCUAAGUUUAUCCACAGCAAUCCGUACCGCAAACCAACUCAGGUGGGUGGGAUGAACAAUCCAAGGCGCUCGAGAGAACUCUGGCCAAGGAACUCGGCAAAAUAACCCCGUAACUUCGGAAGAAGGGGUGCUCUCUAGGGUGACAUGUUUAACAUAUGAAGCCCCGGGGAGCCGCAGUGAAUUGGUGGUGGCGACUGUUUACUAAAAACAUAGGUCUGUGCGAAGUCCUAAAGACGACGUAUACGGACUGACGCCUGCCCGGUGCUGGAAGGUUAAAAGGAGGGGUCAGCGCAAGCAAAGCUCCGAAUUGAAGCCCCAGUAAACGGCGGCCGUAACUAUAACGGUCCUAAGGUAGCGAAAUUCCUUGUCGGGUAAGUUCCGACCUGCACGAAUGGCGUAACGAUCUCCACACUGUCUCGGCCAGAGACUCGGUGAAAUUGCAGUCGCGGUGAAAAUUCCGUGUACCCGCAGAAAGACGGAAAGACCCUGUGCACCUUUACUAUAGCUUGACAUUGGAUUUUGGGCCUGCAUGUGUAGGAUAGGUGGGAGGCUGUGAACCCUGUACGCCAGUAUGGGGGGAGCCAUCCUUGAAAUACCACCCUUGCAUGUUUAAGAUCCUAACUUCUUCCGGUUAUCCCGGAGAAAGACAGUGUCUGGCGGGUAGUUUGACUGGGGCGGUCGCCUCCUAAAGUGUAACGGAGGCAUGCAAAGGUUCCCUCAGCCUGAUCGGAAACCAGGCGCUGAGUGCAAACGCAUAAGGGAGCUUGACUGUAAGAGAGACAUCUCGAACAGGAACGAAAGUUGGCGUUAGUGAUCCGGUGGUCCCGUAUGGAAGGGCCAUCGCUCAUUGGAUAAAAGGUACGCCGGGGAUAACAGGCUGAUCGCAUCCAAGAGUUCACAUCGACGAUGCGGUUUGGCACCUCGAUGUCGGCUCAUCACAUCCUGGGGCUGAAGCAGGUCCCAAGGGUACGGCUGUUCGCCGUUUAAAGUGGUACGCGAGCUGGGUUUAAAACGUCGUGAGACAGUUUGGUCCCUAUCUUCUGUGGGCGAAGGAGAAUUGAGAGGGCCUGUCCCUAGUACGAGAGGACCGGGAUGGACGCACCCCUGGUGAUCCUGUUGUCGCGCCAGCGGCAUAGCAGGGUAGCUAUGUGCGGAAGGGAUAACCGCUGAAAGCAUCUAAGCGGGAAGCCUGCCUCAAGAUAAGUUCUCCCCUCGAAAGAGCUGAAGGGCCCGGGUAGACUACCCGGUCGAUAGGCUGGAGGUGUAAGCGCGGCGACGUGCUCAGCUGACCAGUACUAAUAGCCCGAGCGGCUUAUUU